ensembl:miRNA MIR4281 microRNA 4281
GCUGGGGGUCCCCCGACAGUGUGGAGCUGGGGCCGGGUCCCGGGGAGGGGGGUUCUGGGCAG